GAGUUGUAAUUUGCAGAGGAUGCUUUUGGUGCGGUGCCUUCCAAGUUCCCUAGAACGGGACGCCAGAGAGGGUGAGAGCCCCGUACAGUUGGACACCAAGCCUUUGUAAAGCUCCUUCGACGAGUCGAGUAGUUUGGGAAUGCUGCUCAAAAUGGGAGGUAUAUUUCUUCUAAAGCUAAAUACCGGCCAGAGACCGAUAGCGCACAAGUAGAGUGAUCGAAAGAUGAAAAGCACUUUGAAAAGAGGGUUAAACAGCACGUGAAAUUGUUAAAAGGGAAGCGCUUGUGACCAGACUUGCGUCCGGUGAAUCACCCAGCUCUCGCGGCUGGGGCACUUCGCCGGCUCAGGCCAGCAUCAGCUCGCUGUCGGGGACAAAAGCUUCAGGAACGUAGCUCUCUUCGGGGAGUGUUAUAGCCUGUUGCAUAAUACCCUUCGGCGGGCUGAGGUACGCGCUCCGCAAGGAUGCUGGCAUAAUGGUCAUCAGCGACCCGUCUUGAAACACGGACCAAGGAGUCAACCUUAUGUGCGAGUGUUCGGGUGUCAAACCCCUACGCGUAAUGAAAGUGAACGCAGGUGAGAGCUUCGGCGCAUCAUCGACCGAUCCUGAUGUUCUCGGAUGGAUUUGAGUAAGAGCAUAUAGGGUUGGACCCGAAAGAAGGUGAACUAUGCGUGUAUAGGGUGAAGCCAGAGGAAACUCUGGUGGAGGCUCGCAGCGGUUCUGACGUGCAAAUCGAUCGUCAAAUAUGCGCAUGGGGGCGAAAGACUAAUCGAACCUUCUAGUAGCUGGUUUCCGCCGAAGUUUCCCUCAGGAUAGCAGUGUUGAACUCAGUUUUAUGAGGUAAAGCGAAUGAUUAGGGACUCGGGGGCGCUAUAUUGCCUUCAUCCAUUCUCAAACUUUAAAUAUGUAAGAAGCCCUUGUUACUUAAUUGAACGUGGGCAUUCGAAUGUAUCAACACUAGUGGGCCAUUUUUGGUAAGCAGAACUGGCGAUGCGGGAUGAACCGAACGCGAGGUUAAGGUGCCAGAGUAGACGCUCAUCAGACACCACAAAAGGUGUUAGUACAUCUUGACAGCAGGACGGUGGCCAUGGAAGUCGGAAUCCGCUAAGGACUGUGUAACAACUCACC
rnacentral:rRNA from 1 species